rnacentral:rRNA from 1 species
AAUGAACGUUGGCGGCAUGAAUUAGGCAUGCAAGUCGGGGGAAUCCCAGCAAUGGGGGAACCGGCGUAAGGGGCAGUAAGGCAUGGGUACCUACCUUGGGGUUCGGGAUAGCCAUCAGAGAUGGUGGGUAAUACCGGAUGACGUCGUGAGACCAAAGAUUUAUCGCCCUUAGGGGGGCCCAUGUGAUAUUAGCUAGUUGGUGGGGUAACGGCCCACCAAGGCGAAGAUGUCUAGCGGGUGUGAAAGCACGACCCGCGCCACUCGCACUGAGACACUGGCGAGACACCUACGGGUGGCUGCAGUCGAGGAUCUUCGGCAAUGAGCGCAAGCUUGACCGAGCGAUGCCGCGUGAGCGAUGAAGGCCUUCGGGUUGUAAGGCUCUUUAGUGGGGAGAAAAGCCGCAAGGUGUGAUCUAUCCCAAAAAUAAGCACGGGCUAAGUUCGUGCCAGCCGCCGCGGUAA